AGAGUUUGAUCAUGGCUCAGAUUGAACGCUGGCGGCAGGCCUAACACAUGCAAGUCGAACGGUAACAGGAAGCAGCUUGCUGCUUCGCUGACGAGUGGCGGACGGGUGAGUAAUGUCUGGGAAACUGCCUGAUGGAGGGGGAUAACUACUGGAAACGGUAGCUAAUACCGCAUAACGUCGCAAGACCAAAGAGGGGGACCUUAGGGCCUCUUGCCAUCGGAUGUGCCCAGAUGGGAUUAGCUAGUAGGUGGGGUAACGGCUCACCUAGGCGACGAUCCCUAGCUGGUCUGAGAGGAUGACCAGCCACACUGGAACUGAGACACGGUCCAGACUCCUACGGGAGGCAGCAGUGGGGAAUAUUGCACAAUGGGCGCAAGCCUGAUGCAGCCAUGCCGCGUGUAUGAAGAAGGCCUUCGGGUUGUAAAGUACUUUCAGCGGGGAGGAAGGGAGUAGAGUUAAUACCUUUGCUCAUUGACGUUACCCGCAGAAGAAGCACCGGCUAACUCCGUGCCAGCAGCCGCGGUAAU
rnacentral:rRNA from 1 species